rnacentral:rRNA from 1 species
CAAGAUUAAAACUUAAAGGAAUUGACGGGGGCCCGCACAAGCGGUGGAGCAUGUGGUUUAAUUCGAAGCAACGCGCAGAACCUUACCAACCCUUGACAUCCCGAUCGCGGACACCAGAGAUGGAGUCCUUCAGUUCGGCUGGAUCGGAGACAGGUGCUGCAUGGCUGUCGUCGGCUCGUGUCGUGAGAUGUUGGGUUAAGUCCCGCAACGAGCGCAACCCUCGCCUUUAAUUGCCAUCAUUUAGUUGGGCACUCUAAAGGGACUGCCGGUGAUAAGCCGGAGGAAGGUGGGGAUGACGUCAAGUCCUCAUGGCCCUUACGGGUUGGGCUACACACGUGCUACAAUGGCGGUGACAAUGGGCAGCUACUUCGCAAGGAGAUGCUAAUCCCAAAAAACCGUCUCAGUUCAGAUUGCACUCUGCAACUCGGGUGCAUGAAGUUGGAAUCGCUAGUAAUCGCUAAUCAGCAGGUAGCGGUGAAUACGUUCCCGGGCCUUGUACACACCGCCCGUCACACCAUGGGAGUUGGUCUUACCUGAAGACGGUGUGCUAACCAGCAAUGGAGGCAGCCGGCCACGGUAAGGUCAGCGACUGGGGUGAAGUCGUAACAAGGUAGCCGUAAAUCACUAGUGAAUUCGCGGCCGCCUGCAGGUCGACCAUA